rnacentral:rRNA from 1 species
UGGGGAAUUUUGGACAAUGGGGGCAACCCUGAUCCAGCAAUGCCGCGUGUGUGAAGAAGGCCUUCGGGUUGUAAAGCACUUUUGUCCGGAAAGAAAACGCCGUGGUUAAUACCCGUGGCGGAUGACGGUACCGGAAGAAUAAGCACCGGCUAACUACGUGCCAGCAGCCGCGGUAAUACGUAGGGUGCAAGCGUUAAUCGGAAUUACUGGGCGUAAGCGUGCGCAGGCGGUCCGCUAAGACAGAUGUGAAAUCCCCGGGCUUAACCUGGGAACUGCAUUUGUGACUGGCGGGCUAGAGUAUGGCAGAGGGGGGUAGAAUUCCACGUGUAGCAGUGAAAUGCGUAGAGAUGUGGAGGAAUACCGAUGGCGAAGGCAGCCCCCUGGGCCAAUACUGACGCUCAUGCACGAAAGCGUGGGGAGCAAACAGGAUUCAGAUACCCUGGUAGUCCACGCCCUAAACGAUGU